GACCUCGGAUCAGGUAGGGAUACCCGCUGAACUUAAGCAUAUCAAUAAGCGGAGGAAAAGAAACCAACAGGGAUUGCCCUAGUAACGGCGAGUGAAGCGGCAACAGCCCAAAUUUGAAAUCUGGCGUCUUUGGCGUCCGAGUUGUAAUUUGCAGAGGGCGCUUUGGCAUUGGCAGCGGUCCAAGUUCCUUGGAACAGGACGUCACAGAGGGUGAGAAUCCCGUACGUGGUCGCUAGCCUUUACCGUGUAAAGCCCCUUCGACGAGUCGAGUUGUUUGGGAAUGCAGCUCUAAAUGGGAGGUAAAUUUCUUCUAAAGCUAAAUACUGGCCAGAGACCGAUAGCGCACAAGUAGAGUGAUCGAAAGAUGAAAAGCACUUUGGAAAGAGAGUUAAAAAGCACGUGAAAUUGUUGAAAGGGAAGCGC
rnacentral:rRNA from 1 species